AUAGCGUUUUAGAGCUAUUAAUUUUCUUUUUGAAAAAACGGUUUUCACUUUUCCCAGUUCUCUUUUUCGUGCGUUCUCCCUGGCUUCUCCUGUAGGCUUUUCCCUCGUGUUCUCAUUUGGUUCUGCAGCGUUCUCCACUAUCUUUGGUUCGCAAUCUAUGUUGGCUCCGUGUUUGGUUGUCAGUGUUCCCCUUUGCAGGGUUCUUUUCAAUGCCAGCCCUACCUCACUCACUUAACGACGACCCUGUAUCCCAUAUUAACGACAACCUUGCAUCUCAUCUUUGCUUUAGGUAAAACCUCAGUUUAUUAUAAAAAAAUGUUUCAUCAAUGCGGGGUUAUGGUUUCUCUAGGCCAUCUCAGUUAACCCCUUCUUUCUCGAGCUCUCCCUCCUUUUGCGCUUUCCUCAUUGAAAAUAUCUUUGUUUCAUUUCACUGACCAUAUGCUUGAUUGACAUUCGAAACUCACUGGAUGUUAAUUCGAAGGAGAUGAAGCUUGGAUGACAAUAUCCAUUUUUAUUCACUGUGUAAAGGUGUGGCUGGUUUGCUUUCACUGUAGGCAAUGGAAUCAUAAGUCUGCUUGGGAUUGUUACAAAGUUCACCUCUAUUCUUGUGGACUCUUUCCAUCCAUUUUUUGUUGGGGACUACUUAUUCAAUCGAUCUAGCCCUGUUGAGAUGGAAGAGAAUUGCAAUGCUUGAACCCUCACAAAGCCAAAUGUUUUUUUGUGCUAAUAUGUGUUCGUCAUAUUAAAUCUAUAGACCUUUGUGUUCAAGAGGCCAACUAUGAUUCUAGAUCGUUGAUUUUUUUCUACAACAUUCUUGAGUUUCUUCUCUUUAAUUUAGCAUUGUUCAAGGAUAUACCUGACAAUGAAGGAGAUGACAAAUUUGGUAUUCAAUCUUUGUUAGUGCAUUUGGGUCAGAAGAAGGUAUUCUGGAUUUAUGAUUCACUUUUUGAAAUGAUUUAUAGAGUUGCCAUUCUUGUGGGUGCAACAUCUUCCUACCACUGAAGCAAAAUGAUCACGUGUCCAAAAUAAUCCAACAACCAUGAAUGUGGUUAUAUAAAAGAAAUUAUCAUAUAGUAUAAAGAAGGAACAAUUCCAAGUUAUUAUUUUUCUAGUUGCAAAUGUCAACAAUAUUGUGACAAUCAAAUCGUUGAAGGUAGCAAAGAUUGGUGUUUAUAUGUAACUAGUACAUGUUUAUAGGUUAUCUUAUGGUGAUGUACAUGUUUAUAGGUACACAUAGGAUAAUGGUUAUAUAUAUUGUCUUAUAAAGCAAUGUCAUGUCAUGACACGUACUAGACGACUUAAUGAUUAUAUUUUGAAUUAUUAUUGUACCAAUAAUUUUUAUUCAUAUU